GAUGAACGCUAGCGGCAGGCCUAACACAUGCAAGUCGAGGGGCAGCACGAUAAAGCUUGCUUUAUUGGUGGCGACCGGCGCACGGGUGCGUAACGCGUAUGCAACCUACCUUAUACUGGGGUAUAGCCCGGAGAAAUUCGGAUUAAUCCCCCAUAGUAUUGUCGAUUCGCAUGUUUUGACAAUUAAAGGUUACGGUAUAAGAUGGGCAUGCGUCCCAUUAGCUAGAUGGUGAGGUAACGGCUCACCAUGGCGACGAUGGGUAGGGGGCCUGGGAGGGUGGUCCCCCACACUGGUACUGAGACACGGACCAGACUCCUACGGGAGGCAGCAGUGAGGAAUAUUGGUCAAUGGGCGCAAGCCUGAACCAGCCAUGCCGCGUGCAGGAAGACGGUCCUAUGGAUUGUAAACUGCUUUUAUUUGGGAAUAAACUCUCGGACGUGUCCGAGCCUGAAGGUACCAAAUGAAUAAGCACCGGCUAACUCCGUGCCAGCCGCCGCAGUAAGAC
rnacentral:rRNA from 1 species